ACGGAAGGCAGCAGUGAGGAAUAUUGGUCAAUGGGCGAGAGCCUGAACCAGCCAUGUCGCGUGCAGGAAUACGGCCCUACGGGUUUUAAACUGCUUUUGCCUGGGGAUAAAGUGGCGGACGAGUCCGCUAUUGCAGGUACCAGGCGAAUAAGGAUCGGCUAACUCCGUGCCAGCAGCCGCGGUAAUACGGAGGAUCCGAGCGUUAUCCGGAUUUAUUGGGUUUAAAGGGUGCGCAGGCGGCACGUUAAGUCAGCGGUGAAAUGCAGGGGCUCAACCCCGGCACUGCCGUUGAAACUGGCGAGCUCGAGUACGGAUGAAGUCGGCGGAAUGUGAUGUGUAGCGGUGAAAUGCUUAGAUAUGUCACAGAACACCGAUUGCGAAGGCAGCUGACUAAUCCGCAACUGACGCUCAGGCACGAAAGCGUGGGGAUCGAACAGGAUUAGAUACCCUGGUA
rnacentral:rRNA from 1 species